CUGAAUCAGGCACAGACAAUAUCGGUGGCUGAUAAUAUCGGAUCUUCCCUAUAUUUCUAAGUACUUCGAUAGUACCAUUAAAAAUAACUAUGUUUCUAGAAUCAUCCAUUUCGUAAACUAGCAUUCGGUGAAAUGGAAAUCAUCGUACUGACGCUCUUCCUUUUUUCAAAUCAUCUAUCUAUUGCUUUUAACCCUUUCAUUCCCAAAGUUUUUCUUGUGCAUGUAGGGUUUCAAAACUAUUUUUUCUUGAAAACAGUGAUGUUAAGAAACACGAAUUCUUUUUUCAUAAAGAUAGGAGCUUCCCUCGCAGCACUAGAAGCUGCUCAAUUUCUACCUUCUAAUGGUCAAUACAAUUCCCCUAGAAUAUUCGAUUUGAAACAGAUUUUGCUUAGUGACCGCACCCCACAACCCAUAACUCUGGAAUCGGAAAUCGGAUCGAGAUGAAAUUUAAUAGCCAUUUAAGGGGAUAAAACACCUUUCAUUUGAGACCAAGUUUGGUCGAAUCUCCGAAAAACCAAUGAGACUGUAACUCUUAAUUUGGAUACUUCCGCCGGGGCUUCCGGAACCGACGAUGGUGGCCAAUGUGACCAAAGAGACUUUGAAUGGCUGUUAGUGACCUAGUACUACAAAUCUAAGUAGAUGUGGCACCAGUUUGAAAAAGUUUUCACCUUUAUACAUUCAUUACAGAAUUUUUUAAAAUCAACAUUUUCUGCGUGAUCGUACUCUUCACUCUGUAACUCCGGAACCGGAAGUCAGAUCCAUUAUAAAUUCAAUAGCAGCCUACAGGAUACACGUUUCAUUUGAGACUAAGUUUAUGAAAAUCGGUUCAGCCAUCUCUGAGAAAAGUGAGUGAGAUUGUGGUCACAUACACACAGAGAAUUGACGGACUGAAUCGAAUGGUAUAUGUCACUCGAGCCUCCGGGUCUCCGUUGAAAAGACGGUUUUCAGAGCAGUUUUUCUAUUGAGAAAGGCAAAACGUAAAUCGUACGAACAAGUUAUAGCAAAUAGUGAUACAUUUAACACUUUUAUAAUGAGUGGCUCAUGUCCCUUCAGAUUUGACCGCACUUACCGCUUGAUGACGUCCCAGUUUGAUAUUUCUUUUGAGUGGUUUGAGAAAACUGAGAAAACGAAAAUCGUCAACGCAGGCCUGGAUACGGUUAAAGAAAUAUAAACAAAUUUUGGUAGCCUCGCAUCGUUUUCCGGAGCAGUUGGAUAUGUAAGGAUAUUUAUUAUUUUAAAUCUAGUCCUGUAAUUUAAUUCUAUUAAUCGAAUCGUAUAUUUAAAGCAUUGUCAUCAAUACCCCCAGGGUUGCAAAAUUGAUUCGGUUCUGUGACUCCGAAUCUAAAGAAUAUGGCGUGCGACAUCGAAGAAUUUAUUCCGUGCAUUUUAGGUCGUCUUGUUUCAAACACCUAUUAAAUCUAUCUAAAGGGAAAAUGUUGCAAAAUUACACAAACUAAAAAUUAAAAAUUGACGCGUUUCGUUUUGCAGAUGAUGAUCGAGUUGCACUUUUUGUUGCCAACGAACGGAAAACAAAUAAAUAAUUGAAGAAAUUUUUCUCCUCAAAAUAUUUGAUUAUUUCUGCUGCCUCUGCACUCCUUGCUGUCGUUCGAUUCCGUUCACGUGGCUUCGACGUGCUGCCUCGAGGAUCGGCAACUCGUUGGUAGCGAGCCGCGUGGCUUGUUUCGAUAUUCCACCUGUUGCUAUGGGCCUUGGUUGCCUCUAGAUGACCUCGCAUCUGCGUGGUGACUUCAGGAAACUAUUCAGUCAUGUCAAACUGAGGCUUCCAAUAGUCAACACCGGUGAAACAACGUCAUCUCGGUUAUUGACUUCAGAUACAUCGAGCAAUACGGAACAUUUGAACAAGACUGUAGCUUACCCGAGCUCCGAGCCACUACAAUUCCAUUUGACUUCAGUCAUACCGGCUGGAAUAUAAUAUAGAAUUCUGGCUGUCUAAGAGACAAGUAUUUUAAUUGUGCAUUCAUUUUUAUUUGUUUUUUGUUGAUGAUUAAUUCAUUUCAAAUAUAUUUGUAGUUGGAACUGUGGCCACAUUUGCAAUUAUGGUGCCACUGACAUAUGAGCAAGCGUAUGGGGGAUAGACCACUAGUGAAUAAUUGUUCUUAAACCUGAGGGGUAACCACCCAUAUUGAUGGUGGUUUUAAGUGUUUUGUUACCAGCCACCAUCUUGGAUUU